rnacentral:rRNA from 1 species
GAUGAACGCUGGCGGUAUGCUUAACACAUGCAAGUCGAACGGACUCUUCGGAGUUAGUGGCGGACGGGUGAGUAACGCGUGAGAAUCUGGCUUUGGGUUCGGGACAACCACUGGAAACGGUGGCUAAUACCGGAUGUGCCGAGAGGUAAAAGAGAAAUUGCCUGAAGAUGAGCUCGCGUCUGAUUAGCUAGUUGGUGAGGUAAGGGCUCACCAAGGCAGCGAUCAGUAGCUGGUCUGAGAGGAUGACCAGCCACACUGGGACUGAGACACGGCCCAGACUCCUACGGGAGGCAGCAGUGGGGAAUUGUCCGCAAUGGGCGAAAGCCUGACGGAGCAAUACCGCGUGAGGGAAGAAGGCUCUUGGGUUGUAAACCUCUUUUCUUAGGGAAGAACAAAAUGACGGUACCUAAGGAAUCAGCAUCGGCUAACUCCGUG